GCCUCGGUGGUGUAGUGGUCAAGACGCUUGCCUGGUAAACAGGAGGGCGUGGCUUCGACCCCAGCCGAGGCA
rfam:Asian citrus Psyllid, Diaphorina citri - Florida Strain, whole genome shotgun sequence.